rnacentral:pre_miRNA from 1 species
UAGAGUGAUCAGUUAUCCCAGUUUGCUUGUGACUUUCCCAGUUUUAACACUAGGAGUCCCAUGCCUAGGAAACCCCUCAGUCAUGAGCAAACUGAGGCAGCUGGUCACUCUAGUGAUGG